rnacentral:rRNA from 1 species
GUAGGGAAUAUUGCGCAAUGGACGAAAGUCUGACGCAGCGACGCCGCGUGAGUGAUGAAGGCCUUAGGGUCGUAAAGCUCUGUUGAAUGGGAAGAAAAAAAUGACGGUACCAUUCGAGGAAGGACCGGCUAACUUCGUGCCAGCAGCCGCGGUAAUACGAGGGGUCCUAGCGUUGUUCGGAAUCAUUGGGCGUAAAGGGUGUGUAGGUGGCCAUGUAAGUCAGGUGUGAAAGCCCCGGGCUCAACACGGGAAGUGCACUUGAUACUGCGUGGCUUGAGUACCGAAGAGGGUAGUGGAAUUCCAGGUGUAGUGGUGAAAUACGUAGAUAUCUGGAGGAACACCGGUGGCGAAGGCGGCUACCUGGUCGAGUACUGACACUGAGACACGAAAGCAUGGGGAUCAAACAGGAUUAGAAACCCGAGUAGUCC